AGUUGUUUGUUGUUGUUAUCUGUUGGGCUGGAUGCUGGUAUGUUUACGGUUAAAAAAAAAGCAACAUACUUUCAAAGGACUCAAAGGCUCUUGACUGCACACCCCAAUGUUCAUCCUAGUGAGUAUGAAGACUUGCUAAGGAGAACAUGAAAAAGUUCCUUAUCUGCUUUGGGCAGCACCAUUUCCAGCUGAGCUCCCAGAAGGCUGUGGAAGAUAACAUGGGAACUGAUGUUUCUAGAAGGCUAGUAGAAUCAUUGACUCAUGGAGUAAUAGAACUGGAAACUUGGAAGGAACCCCAAGGGUCACUGAAUGCAACCUUUGCCAAAGCAGGAUAUGCAGUAAGACAGACAGUAUCAGAGCUUGGCAAAACUUUUCUGGACUAGAGAUUCCAUUAUUGUUCAACCAACAUCAGUUCAGUUCAUCAUUGCUUUCUAAGUAUUACACCAUCUGCAGGCAUCUCUGCAUUUCUCAGCUCUCUGCAAAACCAAAAGAAUCAGGUUAAUUGUGAAUUGCAACAUUUAUCCAUGAGAAGAUGAGUUUUUAAUGAAUACAUUUAUGAGCUCCUGUCAAACUAUGGAUGGCUUCAUUUAUUGGUUAAUCACACUGAUAGGUUACUUUUUCACACACACGCACACACACAAAAACAAUGUCUGCUUGUUUUGUCUUGUAUCUCCAGUUUAGUAACAGGUAGACUGCCUUGAGGAAGGAAGGAAGGAAGGCUUUGAAGGUAGAUCAGCUGAGAGAUGGGGUAAAACUCAGCCAGAUGUUUUAAAUUAUUUUAUAUUUUAUACACGUGUUUAGUGUUAAAUGUAUUUUCUCCAAAACACACAUAUCUAGAUUUGUUUGGGUCAAACAUGUUUUUCUAAAUGUAUUUUAUCUCAAAACAUGGAUAUAAAAACAUAAU